UUAAUCAAAAUCUCAGCCUUUAAUCACAGCCGUUGAUCAAAGAUGAACUAACGACUGAGAUCGAAAGAAGCAUUCAUUCCUUUUAAAAAAACAAAUAAACCAAAACCCUAACCCUAAAUUCAUUUCAUAAGCUUCCACCACCACUCUCUCUACCUUCUCUUUCUCUCUCAAAACCUCUUCCGCCGCCAACUCUCUCCGAUCCCCCUCCCCGUCGCCGCUCUGCCACCAACGAUGGUAGCAACACUGCCUCCCUCCGUUCGCCCCUCCGACGGAACCAGCCGCUGCCAUCAACGCCUAACACUGGCGCCGUCCCCCUCGCGUCCUCCUUCUCCUUGUUCAUCAUCCCUCCUCCGGCGCCGUCCUCUCCAACGAAACCAGCGAACUAGCGCCGUCCUCCACCGCCGAAACAGCCAUCGCUUUGCCAUAAAACGAUGGGUUCUCAAGAACCCAUCCUAGAUGAAAUCUGAUUAUAGCUGGAUAUAUCAACGAAAUAUCGAUAAUAGAAUGGAUGAGGCUGAGAAUGAAGUUGCGGAUAAUGAAUUGUCGUUUUUAGUAUUUUGUAUGUUUUAUAGUUUGGAUUUGGAACCUCGAUAAAUUUUGUAAAUAAUGUUUGUAUUCUUAUGGUGAUUGGUUGAUUGUAUAUUAAAUAAUUGGUGGGAUGUAUUGUAGAUAAUAAUCAAUGUUUGUAAAUGAUUGUGGUCGGCUAUAUUGUAAAUAAUUUGAUUUUUAAUUUUUGUA